rnacentral:tRNA from 1 species
GGGGUUGUGGCUCAGUGGUAGAACCCUUGCCUAGCAUGCAAGAGGCACUGGGUUCAAUCCCCAACACCA